GUGCCUUUCACCCCUAUCUGCACUCUUCACUGGUUUUUGAAGUGAAUCCUAAUUCCCCACACCCAAGGGACAAGUGGGAGUUCAGAAAACAAGGCUGAAAAUAAAUAUAAGAGUUUAGCUACCCCCUGCUCCACCACCAUGAAAAUAUUGCAAACCAAUACAAACGUUAGCUCCAUUACCAAAUAUUUAUAGCUGUCUUUCCCAUCCUGCAUUAAAGGCACUGUGGGAUGAGCAGUCAGAGCAAAGCUGAAGGUUUAAACUAAGCAGUUCUCAUCCAAGUCCGUGGGAGUCACACAGCAAGAAUCCUGUAAUAUCUCAGAGGAUUUAUUCCUUUUAACUUCUUUUAUAAGAAGCCUUUGCUAAGGGAUUUACAAGAAAUGGAGAUUAUUUAGUGAUAAUGGAUGAGAAAUUCCACUUGAGCUGUAAAAUGAAGCCACAUUAACUGCCCCCUAAGAAUUCCAUAUAAAUAAUGUUAUUACUGUACAAUGAGCACCAAUUGAAUUUAAUCAUUAGCUACUAAUUGUGGGGCUUGGCCAAACUUGAGUCUCCAUGCUACUUUAUGAAGCUAUUUUCUAUUAAGUGUGACAUUGUAGCAUGUGAACAACUAGCAGGUGAGAGAGCAUGACUAAUGAAAAAAGAAAAAAAAAACCUAGCAAGGCAAGCCUCGGUUUGUGGGAAAACAGGAUUCCAUCAAUUGUUUUGGUAAUGGCCCAGCACUGGUCCCAUUGAGUUCUCCAAACAUCUUUCACAUCAGCAGGAUUUUGGCCAACGGACAUGAAUUGAGGCCCAUUGCAAGAUGCCAUGGCUUUAUUCUCCCAAAGAGUGGGCCAAGUACACAACUGAAAGCUUGAAACAGAUGACUGCAUUCAAGUGGUAUAAGGUAGAAAACAAAGGACUAUGUGGAGCCUGAGGAGAGACAUGAAGAGAGAGAGGAUUUGCAGUACAAACCAAGAUGCAAAAGUCAAGGAUGGGGACCUCUCUGUCAAUCAAGGAGAAGGUUCCAAAACAGAAUGUUCCAAGGAGUGGAAGUUAGGGGUUUUCUGGGCACAGAGAGGAGAAGAAAGGACUAUUGAGUUGGUUGUCUCUCUGAGAGUUAAGCUGUCCAGGAGAAAUUGAGAAAUUUUUGGACUUUGUUUUCUCUCUUGGAGAAUUGUCUCAGACUGAAGGCUUCAAAAAUUAAGCUGAGAGACCUUGCUGACUUUGUGAAGAAGAAAGAAGAUAUUAAAAGCUGCUGUCCUCCAUCUAUAACUGUCCCUCUGUCACAUUUGUGACUUCCCAAGCCCUUAUAAUCCUCAUUUUAGAUUAGAGACAUCCUCAUUCCUCUUACCUCAGUUUUAUAUCCUAUUAUCCCAAUAAACCCCUUGACUUGAAAAAGGAAA
rnacentral:lncRNA from 1 species